rnacentral:lncRNA from 1 species
GCUUUUGCAUUUAGUAUAUCAAAGAGAAAAGUGGCUUUGGGUAAAACACAAAACAGACCUAUAAAAAUAACCACAGAUAGCACCUUCAAAUGUUAUUUGUUCACUAAAUUCGUAUACACAGAAAUAUCUAUUAUUUAUAACUGGUUAAGAAAAACAAUUAUAACAGCUUCACAAACCCUUAUCUGAAACUUCUGGGGCCAAAUGUGUGUUAGAAUUCUCAAUUUACUUGACUAGAAAGGGAAUUAUUUAGAUGUAUUAUGUAAAACCCCCAGUGGGAGCCUGAUGCUGCAACAUGUAAUCAAACGCAUCACUAUUUCUCCAGCAAAACUUAGAAUAUGCACACUUAAUGGAAUAAAAACGAUAAACAGCCCCCAUUAUUUCUGGUCAGGUUGACUGCCAAGUAAGACGUGGUGCUAAUCCCACUGAAAACGUCAGGUUUUCAUAGCUUUGUGGUUUUCAGGAUUAAGACAAGGGAUUGUGUACUUGCACCACAAUAUUAGAACAUCUCUUUACGGUUAAGCUUCUGUUACAAGCUUUUGAAUUUAAAAAGUAAAAAAGACAGUACCAAGUUCGUAGAGAAUGUAAACAUGUUUUAUUGUCCAAGGAUGUCAUUUGAUCAAACUCCCCAUCUUUACAUGGCCCCCACAAAAUCUAUACAAAAGACUGCCCUCUCGGAGAGACAGAAAGGUACUGAAAGCAACGCAUCUGAAAUCUGUACGCGCUUUUAAGGGGUGAAUUAUCGUGCACACCAGGCUCCGAAUCCGCACAGCGCUCCUUACGUAACUUCACCCACCAUACUGAGAAGGCUCUCACCACCAACCCGCUACGAGCGGACCUGCGAACUGCACAAGAUCACCUAAAAUGCGUCAACACUCAGGGACGCGGGUCCAGGUCUCCAGGACAACCACCACGUCCCGCCCGGCGGGCUCUAGCCCCCGCGCAGACCAGCGGCCCCAGCCCCGCGCGGAGCCCCCCGGCCGCGGGACCGGAAGCCGCGCUCCCCCCGGCGGGGCGGGGCGAGCGGCCCGGAAGCCGGGCCCGCGUCCGCAGAGGACGGCGGAAGCCCGAGCGUCCGCCCGCGGCCCCCCUCAGCCCUGACCCCGCGGCCCGGCCCGGCCCGGUCUCCAGCCCUCCGCACGCUCCUGGACCUGACUCGAACUCUCCCAGAAGCGCAGUUGUGCGGUGCUGGCCUUUGCGGGACCGUGACCGGCUGGACCAGGGCUUCACCACUGGACAUGCACAGCCCACACCCCCGUGGGUCCGCGUGGCCGUCGUGGGCGCAGUGUGUGCGUCCUGUGUGUCUGUUGGCCCAUGCUGUUGCUCCUCCUGCACGGCUCUCCCACCCCAACUCUAA